rnacentral:rRNA from 1 species
CCUACGGGAGGCAGCAGUGGGGAAUAUUGCACAAUGGGGGAAACCCUGAUGCAGCAACGCCGCGUGAAGGAAGACGGCUUUCGGGUUGUAAACUUCUGUUCUUAGUGAAGAAUAAUGACGUUAGCUAAGGAGCAAGCCACGCCUAACUACGUGCCAGCAGCCGCGGUAAUACGUAGGUGGCAAGCGUUGUCCGGAUUUACGGGGUGUAAAGGGAGCGCAGGGGGGAAGCAAAGUCAGAUGUGAAAUCUACGGGCUUAACUUGUAGACUGCAGUUGAAACUGGGUUUCUUGAGUGAAGUAGAGGUAGGCGGAAUUCGGGGUGUAGCGGUGAAAUGCGUAGAUAUCAGGAGGAACACCGGUGGCGAAGGCGGCUAACUGGACUUUAACUGACGUUGAGGCUCGAAAGUGUGGGGAGCAAACAGGAUUAGAUACCCGUGUAGUC